rnacentral:rRNA from 1 species
GCAGUCGAGCGACUGAUUAGAAGCUUGCUUCUAUGACGUUAGCGGCGGACGGGUGAGUAACACGUGGGCAACCUGCCUGUAAGACUGGGAUAACUUCGGGAAACCGAAGCUAAUACCGGAUAGGAUCUUCUCCUUCAUGGGAGAUGAUUGAAAGAUGGUUUCGGCUAUCACUUACAGAUGGGCCCGCGGUGCAUUAGCUAGUUGGUGAGGUAACGGCUCACCAAGGCAACGAUGCAUAGCCGACCUGAGAGGGUGAUCGGCCACACUGGGACUGAGACACGGCCCAGACUCCUACGGGAGGCAGCAGUAGGGAAUCUUCCGCAAUGGACGAAAGUCUGACGGAGCAACGCCGCGUGAGUGAUGAAGGCUUUCGGGUCGUAAAACUCUGUUGUUAGGGAAGAACAAGUACAAGAGUAACUGCUUGUACCUUGACGGUACCUAACCAGAAAGCCACGGCUAACUACGUGCCAGCAGCCGCGGUAAUACGUAGGUGGCAAGCGUUAUCCGGAAUUAUUGGGCGUAAAGCGCGCGCAGGCGGUUUCUUAAGUCUGAUGUGAAAGCCCACGGCUCAACCGUGGAGGGUCAUUGGAAACUGGGGAACUUGAGUGCAGAAGAGAAAAGCGGAAUUCCACGUGUAGCGGUGAAAUGCGUAGAGAUGUGGAGGAACACCAGUGGCGAAGGCGGCUUUUUGGUCUGUAACUGACGCUGAGCGCGAAAGCGUGGGGAGCAAACAGAUUAAUACCCUGGUAGUCCACGCCGUAAACGAUGAGUGCUAAGUGUUAGAGGGUUUCCGCCCUUUAGUGCUGCAGCUAACGCAUUAAGCACUCCGCCUGGGGAGUACGGUCGCAAGACUGAAA